AAGAGUUUGUGUCUUUGUGUAUAUUAACAUUUCACUCCCAAUAACCAGCUAGUCUGAAUGAUCAGUUUGUAUCUGCUUUCCAACAUGGUAGCUCAGUUAGAAUGACUUGCCACCUUUAUUGGGACCAGCCAGCACAUCAGAACUUGCAACUACUCACUGAAUACUUACUACAGUAUUUACUAAAGUAACUUACUGAGUAUACCCCAUAUGGCACAAUACUGUAGAGAACAAAGAAUAUUCUCUACCCUCAAGGAGCUCAAACUCCAGUUAUGGAACUUGAUGUGUACAUUUAAGGAUAGGUAACAAUCAUCUACAAAACACCACAGACAGAAUUACCAAAGGAUCAUUGUUGUGUUAGUGGCUCAGUCAUGCCCGAUUCUGUGACUCCAUGGACUGUAGCGCAUCAGGCGGAUUCUCCAGGCAGGAAUACUGGGGUGGGUUGCCAUUUCCUUCUCCACCCAAAAGAUUAUUCAUCCACGAUUAUCUUCAGUAGAAAAAGAGCAAGGAGCUGUGAGACUAUACUCAAGGAAGAUUUUACCUUGCCUGGCUGGGCAGCAAAGGCUUUCCUGAGACAGUGGCCUUGAAGUUAAACACUAGUAAAGAUUUUCAACCUGACAGUGACGCGAUGAUUGUGAUUUGAAGUGGAACAGGGUCUAAGGCAUGACUUCCUUGGAUCAGUGGUAAAAGAAUCUUGCCUGCAAUGCAGGAGACUCAGGUUUGAUCCCUGAAUCAGGAAGAUCCCCUGAGUGGAAUGACAGUUCACUCCAGUAUUCUUGCCUGGGAAAUCCCAUGGACAGAAGAGCCUAGUGGGCUACGGUCCCUGGAGACGCAGAGUAGGACACAGCUAAGUGACUAAACAACAACAAAGGGCCUAAGGCAGAGAGCUCAGUUACAAAUCUGUUGAACAGACUUAGAGGAAGUGAUGAGGGCUUGCAGCAGGACAAAGAAAAUGAAAAGGAGGGGAGGAAUUUCUGAGACAGUAUUUAGCCCAUACUUGAGAAUAGCACGAGUAUGACUGGCAUUUCUUAAUAGCCAAGUGGGUGCCACCAAAGUCAGCUUCCCGUAAUUCGCUUGACCAAGUGCACACCCUGAUCCAAUAUUACAGGUUAAAGGGAAAAAAUUACAGUAUCAAAGCCCUUAAAAAAUUCAGUUUUAAGGAAAACGUACAGUGACCUUAGUUUGUCAUCAUGUUAUCCUCUCAAGUCCAAAAAUGUUCAGGUUAUUAGGAUCUAAAGCAUGCCCUCUAAUUUUCCUCAGUCCCUAUGCUUACCAUUAUCAUCUAACUGGACAUUUUGUUAACCUGACAACAAGCUAGACAACCGGAUGAACUCCUGGCCUUAGAGCAUGAUGCAAGCUGUCUCUCCAUAGUGGACUGGCCCAUUUCUCUCUGAGCAGCUGGAGGGUUUUGUAUCCAGCACCAUUCC
ensembl:lncRNA